GAUGAACGCUGGCGGCGUGCCUAAUACAUGCAAGUCGAGCGAACAGACGAGGAGCUUGCUCCUCUGACGUUAGCGGCGGACGGGUGAGUAACACGUGGAUAACCUACCUAUAAGACUGGGAUAACUUCGGGAAACCGGAGCUAAUACCGGAUAAUAUAUUGAACCGCAUGGUUCAAUAGUGAAAGACGGUUUUGCUGUCACUUAUAGAUGGAUCCGCGCCGCAUUAGCUAGUUGGUAAGGUAACGGCUUACCAAGGCAACGAUGCGUAGCCGACCUGAGAGGGUGAUCGCCCACACGGGAGCUGAGACACGGUCCAGACUCCUACGGGAGGCAGCAGUAGGGAAUCUUCCGCAAUGGGCGAAAGCUUGACGGAGCAACGCCGCGUGAGUGAUGAAGGUCUUCGGAUCGUAAAACUCUGUUAUUAGGGAAGAACAAAUGUGUAAGUAACUAUGCACGUCUUGACGGUACCUAAUCAGAAAGCCACGGCUAACUACGUG
rnacentral:rRNA from 1 species